GUUUUAUGGUCAAGCUACUAAGGGCAAACGGUGAAUGCCUUGGCACUUUGAGGCGAUGAAGGACGUGGAAAGCUGCGAU
rnacentral:rRNA from 1 species